GACGAACGCUGGCGGCGUGCCUAAUACAUGCAAGUAGAACGCACAGUUUAUACCGUAGCUUGCUACACCAUAGACUGUGAGUUGCGAACGGGUGAGUAACGCGUAGGUAACCUGCCUGGUAGCGGGGGAUAACUAUUGGAAACGAUAGCUAAUACCGCAUAAUAUUGAUUAUUGCAUGAUAAUUGAUUGAAAGAUGCUAUUGCAUCACUACCAGAUGGACCUGCGUUGUAUUAGCUAGUAGGUGAGGUAACGGCUCACCUAGGCGACGAUACAUAGCCGACCUGAGAGGGUGAUCGGCCACACUGGGAAUGAGACACGGCCCAGACUCCUACGGGAGGCAGCAGUAGGGAAUCUUCGGCAAUGGACGAAAGUCUGACCGAGCAACGCCGCGUGAGUGAAGAAGGUUUUCGGAUCGUAAAGCUCUGUUGUAAGAGAAGAACGGGUGUGAGAGUGGAAAGUUCACACUGUGACGGUAGCUUACCAGAAAGGGACGGCUAACUACGUG
rnacentral:rRNA from 1 species